rnacentral:lncRNA from 1 species
CUGCGGGUGCAGUACUAAAAAGCGAAAAUAAAUAAAAUAAAUAAUGUAUAAAACAAAACAUUGUAAACUCUUAAAUGCCAAAUUGAUACAAAUUUAAAAACAAACGUGCUGGCAAAUACCUACUUCACUAUCCCUUGGAUAAACAGCAAAGGAGAAGUUUGUUUAGACUGAGAACAGGGAAGGCUAGAAAACAUUAUGCAGGUAGCCUAUCCUCUCCUUUAAUAAUAUAUUUCCUUUUCGGCCCCAAAGGGAAGAUCAGAAAUGUAAUACUUUUUUUUAUCUCCACAGCCUCUAAUACAAGAUACACUCAUCACAAUAUAUCCCAGGCAAGGUUUAAUAUCUUUAGAAUUAAAAAAAAAAAAAAAAGAGCAUUACUAUAUCCAGUACUUUGGAGACUAUAAAAGCAAAGAAUCUGCCUUUAAAGAGUUGACAGUUUAACUGGGGAGGAAGACAAGUCAGUAUUCAGGAAUUAGCAGCUACCCAUUUUUCCAGGUCAGCGUUGUCAUUUGUCGUUCCAAGAAGUUUUGUCAGAUCCUUCAAACUAAGGUUGUCUUCCUCUCAACAUACUGCCCUAUAUUUCCCUUUCAAAUAACUAGUCACACUGUAUCAGAAUUAACUUACACAAACUCUCUAUUAGACUCUAAUUUCUGAAGGCAAAGACCAGUCUUUUCUACCAACCUGCACCCAGGCACAAAGCCUAGAACACAGUAUUUGUUGAUGCAAAGAUGAGGCACACCGCUGUUUAUUAUUAAGUGAAAAGUGAAGUUUCAAAACAACAUGAACAAUCCUCUUUAAGUAAAAACAAAGAAAUAGAUAAAAGUCUUGAAGGUUAAGGCUUAUAUACCAUUAUCUACAGACUGCAGAAUCUGGAGGAUUUUCAGAACUAUAAACUCUUAAGUUUUGUGUUACCUGAAUUUUGUAAUGAGAAAUAUUUUGGUAUAAGUUAGUAAAUAGUAAGGCUUAUUCACUUGGGGAAAAAACAACAGAUAAAAGAUUUUCAUCUGGAGUUCCCGUCGUGGCGCAGUGGUUAACGAAUCCGACUAGGAACCAUGAGGUUGCGGGUUCGUCGGAUUUGUUAAUCACUGCACCACGACGGGAACUCCUAUUUUCUUGGAACUAUUUCACUAAUUCUUUUUGUUUGCCAGCUAAUAUGCAACAAUGUGGAAGUAAGCAGAAAAGCAAUGCAUUAGAAAUUAUUAGCAUUAUUUCCUCCAAUUUAAGUUUAGAUGAAGAAAGGAGUACUUUUAACCCCAGAUGCAAAUAAUUUCUAUUAUAAGAAAAUCUACAUUGUAAAAUCAACUAUAAAAGAAAAAAUAAAAAUCUUAAAAAAGAAAAUCCAUAAUUGGAGAAAACUGAAGCUUCCUUAUGAAGAGAAUGAACUACCUGUUGACUGAAAUAUUUAGUUUUCAAUUAUUACUACUACUAGACCACAGCAAAUGCUUGUAAUUUUCCAAACCUAAAUUCAUAUUUCUCAACACCAAAAACACAAGUAAAAUUUAAGAAAUUUCAAAAAAGAAGUCACUUUCAGUAACAACCUGAAAUAUUUUAAAUCAGCUUUCCAGAGUUUGCCAAGAAAACCAUCUGUCAUUUUACUCACCACUCUGAAUACCUUGUAAUUUUUUUUCUUUUUUUUUUUUUU